UACGUUCCCGGGCCUUGUACACACCGCCCGUCACGUCAUGAAAGUUGGUAACACCCGAAGCCCAUGGCCUAACCGGUUUUUGCCGGGGGGAGUGGUCGAAGGUGGGAUUGGCGAUUGGGACGAAGUCGUAACAAGGUAGCCGUACCGGAAGGUGCGGCUGGAUCACCUCCUUUCUAAGGAG
rnacentral:rRNA from 1 species